rnacentral:rRNA from 1 species
UACGUAGGGUGCAAGCGUUAUCCGGAUUUACUGGGCGUAAAGCGUGCGCAGGCGGCUUUGUAAGCCAGAUGUGAAAUCCCCGGGCUUAACCUGGGAACUGCAUUUGUGACUGCAUGGCUGGAGUGCGGCAGAGGGGGAUGGAAUUCCGCGUGUAGCAGUGAAAUGCGUAGAUAUGCGGAGGAACACCGAUGGCGAAGGCAAUCCCCUGGGCCUGCACUGACGCUCAUGCACGAAAGCGUGGGGAGCAAACAGG